CCUACGUGUGUCAGCAGUGAGGAAUAUUGGUCAAUGGGCGCGAGCCUGAACCAGCCAAGUCGCGUGCAGGAUGACGGUCCUAUGGAUUGUAAACCUCUUUUGUCGGGGAGUAAACUACGUCACGCGUGGCUUUCUGAAAGUACCCGAAGAAAAAGCAUCGGCUAAUUCCGUGCCAGCAGCCGCGGUAAUACGGAGGAUACGAGCGUUAUCCGGAUUUAUUGGGUUUAAAGGGUGCGCAGGCGGAAGCUAAGGGCAGCGGUAAAAUUGAGAGGCUCAACCUUGUCGAGCCGUGGGAACUGGUUGUCUUGAGUGAGCGAGAGGUAUGCGGAAUGCGUGGUGUAGCGGUGAAAUGCUUAGAUAUCACGCAGAACUCCGAUUGCGAAGGCAGCAUACCGUCGCUCUACUGACGCUCAUGCACGAAGGUGUGGGUAUCGAACAGGAUUAGAUACCCGAGUAGUC
rnacentral:rRNA from 1 species